rnacentral:rRNA from 1 species
UACGGAGGGGGCUAGCGUUGUUCGGAAUUACUGGGCGUAAAGCGUGCGCAGGCGGUCCGUUAAGACAGAUGUGAAAUCCCCGGGCUCAACCUGGGAACUGCGUUGGAAACUACGAGGCUGGAGUACGGCAGAGGGGGGUGGAAUUCCACGUGUAGCAGUGAAAUGCGUAGAUAUGUGGAGGAACACCGAUGGCGAAGGCAGCCCCCUGGGCUAGUACUGACGCUCAUGCACGAAAGCGUGGGGAGCAAACAGG